rnacentral:sRNA from 1 species
UUUGUAAAAUGCUUAACAUUUAUAAAAUACUUAAUAUAUUGUAAUGGCUAUGAUAAUGAUUAUUAUUGGAUCAGAGUUAGAUUCUUAAGUUAACAAGAAUAUGAAUUGGGCAAAACAUAAAAAGUUGGAAUGAAGAAACUCCUGUUGGGAAGCUAAUACCUUUUCCUGGUGCACUGGCAACUUUUUUCCUAAAUAUUAGGAAUUACACCAAGAAUCUGACAUGGAAUUUAAUAAUACUACACAAGAAGAUGUUCAGGAGCGCCUGGCUUAUGCAGAGCAAUUGGUGGUGGAGCUAAAAGAUAUUAUUAGACAGAAGGAUGUUCAACUGCAGCAGAAAGAUGAAGCUCUACAGGAAGAAAGAAAAGCUGCUGAUAACAAAAUUAAAAAACUAAAACUUCAUGCGAAGGCCAAAUUAACUUCUUUGAAUAAAUACAUAGAAGAAAUGAAAGCACAAGGAGGGACUGUUCUGCCUACAGAACCUCAGUCAGAGGAGCAACUUUCCAAGGUAUGGUGACUGGGUGUAGUGUAUAUUUCCUAAGUUGAAAAAACCUACCAAUACAGCAGA